CCUACGGGUGGCAGCAGUGAGGAAUAUUGGUCAAUGGGCGCGACCCUGAACCAGCCAAGUAGCGUGAAUGAUGAAUGCCCUACGGGUUGUAAACUUCUUUUAUAAAGGAAUAAAGUGAGGCACGUGCUCCUUUUUGUAUGUCCUUUAUGAAUAAGGAUGGGCUAACUCCGUGCCAGCAGCCGCGGUAAUACGGAGGAUCCGCGCGUUAUCCGGAUUUAGUGGGUGUAAAGGGAGAGUAGAUGGGUUGUUAAGUCAGUUGUGAAAGUUUGCGGCUCAACCGUUAAAUUACAAUUGAUACUGGCAGGCGUGAGUACAGGAGAGGUAGGCGGAAUUCGUGGUGUAGCGGUGGAAUGCGUAGAUAUUACGAAGAACUCCGAUGGCGAAGGCAGAUUGCUAAACUGUAACUGACAUUGAGGCUCGAAAGUGUGGGUAUCAAACAGGAGUAGAUACCCCGGUAGUC
rnacentral:rRNA from 1 species